rnacentral:rRNA from 1 species
UACAGAGGGGGCAAGCGUUAUUCGGAAUUAUUGGGCGUAAAGGGCGCGUAGGCGGCUUUGCAAGUGGCGGGUGAAAUCCCUCGGCUUAACCGAGGAACUGCCUGCCAGACUGCAAGGCUCGAGACCGGGAGAGGUGAGUGGAAUUCCCAGUGUAGCGGUGAAAUGCGUAGAUAUUGGGAGGAACACCAGUGGCGAAGGCGGCUCACUGGACCGGAACUGACGCUGAGACGCGAAAGCGUGGGGAGCGAACAGG